AGAGUUUGAUCCUGGCUCAGGAUGAACGAUAGCUACAGGCUUAACACAUGCAAGUCGAGGGGCAGCAUCAUCAAAGCUUGCUUUGAUGGAUGGCGACCGGCGCACGGGUGAGUAACACGUAUCCAACCUGCCGACAACACUGGGAUAGCCUUUCGAAAGAAAGAUUAAUACCGGAUGGCAUAGUUUUCCCGCAUGGGAUAAUUAUUAAAGAAUUUCGGUUGUCGAUGGGGAUGCGUUCCAUUAGGUUGUUGGCGGGGUAACGGCCCACCAAGCCUUCGAUGGAUAGGGGUUCUGAGAGGAAGGUCCCCCACAUUGGAACUGAGACACGGUCCAAACUCCUACGGGAGGCAGCAGUGAGGAAUAUUGGUCAAUGGACGAGAGUCUGAACCAGCCAAGUAGCGUGAAGGAUGACUGCCCUAUGGGUUGUAAACUUCUUUUAUACGGGAAUAAAGUGAGGCACGUGUGCCUUUUUGUAUGUACCGUAUGAAUAAGGAUCGGCUAACUCCGUGCCAGCAGCCGCGGUAAUACGGAGGAUCCAAGCGUUAUCCGGAUUUAUUGGGUUUAAAGGGAGCGUAGGCGGACGCUUAAGUCAGUUGUGAAAGUUUGCGGCUCAACCGUAAAAUUGCAGUUGAUACUGGGUGUCUUGAGUACAGUAGAGGCAGGCGGAAUUCGUGGUGUAGCGGUGAAAUGCUUAGAUAUCACGAAGAACUCCGAUUGCGAAGGCAGCCUGCUGGACUGUAACUGACGCUGAUGCUCGAAAGUGUGGGUAUCAAACAGGAUUAGAUACCCUGGUAGUCCACACAGUAAACGAUGAAUACUCGCUGUUUGCGAUAUACAGUAAGCGGCCAAGCGAAAGCGUUAAGUAUUCCACCUGGGGAGUACGCCGGCAACGGUGAAACUCAAAGGAAUUGACGGGGGCCCGCACAAGCGGAGGAACAUGUGGUUUAAUUCGAUGAUACGCGAGGAACCUUACCCGGGCUUGAAUUGCAGGUGGAUGAGUCAGAGAUGAUUCUUUCCUUCGGGACUCCUGUGAAGGUGCUGCAUGGUUGUCGUCAGCUCGUGCCGUGAGGUGUCGGCUUAAGUGCCAUAACGAGCGCAACCCUUAUCGAUAGUUACUAACAGGUCAUGCUGAGGACUCUGACAAGACUGCCAUCGUAAGAUGUGAGGAAGGUGGGGAUGACGUCAAAUCAGCACGGCCCUUACGUCCGGGGCUACACACGUGUUACAAUGGGGGGUACAGAGGGCCGCUACCACGCGAGUGGAUGCCAAUCCCCAAAACCUCUCUCAGUUCGGACUGGAGUCUGCAACCCGACUCCACGAAGCUGGAUUCGCUAGUAAUCGCGCAUCAGCCACGGCGCGGUGAAUACGUUCCCGGGCCUUGUACACACCGCCCGUCA
rnacentral:rRNA from 1 species